CCGGCGCACGGGUGAGUAACACGUACCCAACCUGCCGUCUACUCUUGGACAGCCUUCUGAAAGGAAGAUUAAUACAAGAUGGCAUCAUGAGUCCGCAUGUUCACAUGAUUAAAGGUGUUCCGGUAGACGAUGGGGAUGCGUUCCAUUAGAUAGUAGGCGGGGUAACGGCCCACCUAGUCUUCGAUGGAUAGGGGUUCUGAGAGGAAGGUCCCCCACAUUGGAACUGAGACACGGUCCAA
rnacentral:rRNA from 1 species